AUUGAACGCUGGCGGCAGGCCUAACCCAUGCAAGUCGAGCGAGCGGCGCACGGGUGAGUACUGUAUGGGGACUGCCCGAUAGAGGGGGAUAACUACUGGAAACGGUGGCUAAUACCGCAUACUAUCGGAUAACCUAUAUGGGAUUAGCUAGUCGGUGGGGUAAAGGCUCACCUAGGCGACGAUCUCUAGCUGGUCUGAGAGGAUGAUCAGCCACACGGGGACGGAGACAGGGCCCAGACUCCGACGGAGACAGCGGUGGGGAAUGUUGCACAAUGGGCGCAAGCCUGAUGCAGCCAUGCCGGGUAUAUGAAAAAGGCCUUAGGGUUGUAAAGUACUUUCAGCGGGGAGGCGUUACCAGCAGAAGAAGCACCGGCUAACUCCGUGCCAGCAGCCGCGGUAAUUC
rnacentral:rRNA from 1 species